GUAGGUGGCAAGCGUUGUCCGGAAUUAUUGGGCGUAAAGCGCGCGCAGGCGGUUCUUUAAGUCUGAUGUGAAAGCCCACGGCUCAACCGUGGAGGGUCAUUGGAAACUGGAGAACUUGAGUACAGAAGAGGAAAGCGGAAUUCCACGUGUAGCGGUGAAAUGCGUAGAGAUGUGGAGGAACACCAGUGGCGAAGGCGGCUUUCUGGUCUGUAACUGACGCUGAGGCGCGAAAGCGUGGGGAGCAAACAGGAUUAGAUACCCUGGUAGUCCACGCCGUAAACGAUGAGUGCUAAGUGUUAGGGGGUUUCCGCCCCCCUUAGUGCUGCAGCUAACGCAUUAAGCACUCCGCCGUGGGAGUACCGGCCGCGAAGGCUAG
rnacentral:rRNA from 1 species